AAAAUGCACCUUCUGAUUUAACACACAUGCCGCAUAACCCAAGAGGAUGGCGUGACUGCUGAUGUGCCCUGUGCUGUCACGGCUGCGAGUCCACCUCAGGGCAACCAGGCCUGCUCUUUCUGUAGUGAGCACGCCGCAGCCCCAAUCUCGGGUUCAAUGUGGAGGACGUGGAACAGGGAACAGUGACGGCUCACUAAGCUGCCUGCAGAGUCUGGGAUGUGUGGGCCAAGGAAAGCACCCAGAGCACAGGAGGCUGGCUUCUACCAAGUGGAGGUCUGACUGGGGAAGGGUGGCCUGCUUCUGAGGAUCCAGAGGGCUGACCGAGAAGGCGCGGACGGAAUUCCUGGGCAGAAGGCAACUCGCUACCACGUGAGGAUCACACUUGCGUCUGUGACACACCGAGUGCUGAGUGCUUUGCUCUCAUUCACCCUCGGAGCAGCCCCACCCUCGUCUCUCCUUUAGAAAUGGAAGCCCAGAGAAGCAGGCGGGUGAACUUGAUGCACCCAGAGUGUCCAAAGGUCAGUCUUGACCAGGUGUGCCAGAAUUCUGAGACGGCUCGAGCUUCUAGUCCCCAGUGCACACGCCCUGUGUAAGCUGCUUUCCUCCGGCGUGGGGGGCCUGCGAAUAUGAUGGGCGUCCCUCCUGAGAGUAGCUUAUGUUCUAUGGCAAAGGCAGUGGGAUGUGGCCGAUGUAAUUAAGGUUUCUAUCCAGUUGGCUUUCAACCCAUCUAAAGGCAGAUUGUCCCAGGUGGGCCUGACCUAACCAGGUGAGCCCAGGCCUUCCCGGAAAAAUGAGACUUGAAGAGGUCAAGGAUUCUCCUGCUGGCCUUAAAGAAGUGAACCACCAUGAGCUCCACAGCCGUGAGGAAGUGAACUCUGACAACAACCACAUGAGCCUGGAUGAGAACUUCACACCUCAGGGGAGACCCCAGCCCUGGCCCAAACCCUUGGGCACGGUCGCAUGAGCUGCAGAGCGGAGCAGCCAGUUCAGCGGAGCCUGGACUCCAGCCCCACGGAAACGGUGAGGUAACAAGUGUGUGCUGCUGUCGGCUGUGAGGCUGGUGGUGACUUGUUACAAUGCAAUAGAAAAAGAAGCCACUGGGCCUGUCUGACGCCCAGUCCAUGCUCUCAGGACUGAGAAGAAACUUCCCUUGAGUGGAACUUCCUGCAGGUCGGGCUGUCCCGCGGCGAAGCUGUCUGCAUUGUCCUGUGAUGCACCCUCUGUCGUUGGAGACGGCAUUUCAGUGAAUUGAAAAGCAGACGGCAGGCUCGCUGGAGGCAGAGCCUCGAGCAGACUAUCAACUCACAGGGUUUGGCUCUUAUGAGAAAAGUCUGACAAUCAUUAGUGAAUUCUCAGCCUACAGAAGCAGCCAGUACUCCGAGCUGUAGGCAAGGUUGGGGAGUAGAAGGCAAAUUUCGGUAACUGAAACGAGAAA
rnacentral:lncRNA from 1 species